rnacentral:rRNA from 1 species
GACGAACGCUGGCGGCGUGCCUAAUACAUGCAAGUAGAACGCACAGUUUAUACCGUAGCUUGCUACACCAUAGACUGUGAGUUGCGAACGGGUGAGUAACGCGUAGGUAACCUGCCUGGUAGCGGGGGAUAACUAUUGGAAACGAUAGCUAAUACCGCAUAAUAUUAAUUAUUGCAUGAUAAUUAAUUGAAAGGUGCAAUUGCACCACUACCAGAUGGACCUGCGUUGUAUUAGCUAGUAGGUGAGGUAACGGCUCACCUAGGCGACGAUACAUAGCCGACCUGAGAGGGGGAUCGGCCACACUGGGACUGAGACACGGCCCAGACUCCUACGGGAGGCAGCAGUAGGGAAUCUUCGGCAAUGGACGAAAGUCUGACCGAGCAACGCCGCGUGAGUGAAGAAGGUUUUCGGAUCGUAAAGCUCUGUUGUAAGAGAAGAACGGGUGUGAGAGUGGAAAGUUCACACUGUGACGGUAUCUGACCAGAAAGGGACGGCUAACUACGCG